rnacentral:rRNA from 1 species
GACGAAUGCUGGCUGCGUGCUUAACACAUGCAAGUCGAACGGUGAAGGAGGGCUUGCCCUCCGGAUCAGUGGCGAACGGGUGAGUAACACGUGGGCAGCCUGCCCCUCACUCUGGGAUAACGCCGGGAAACCGGCGCUAAUACCGGAUACGACCAGGCGCGACAUCUCGCCUGGUGGAAAGAAUUUCGGUGAGGGAUGGGCCCGCGGCCUAUCAGCUAGUUGGUGGGGAACGGCCCACCAAGGCGACGACGGGUAGCCGGCCUGAGAGGGCGACCGGCCACACUGGGACUGAGACACGGCCCAGACUCCGACGGGAGGCAGCAGUGGAGAAUAUUGCGCGAUGGGCGAAAGCCUGACGCAGCGACGCAGCGUGAGGGACGAAGGCCUUCGGGUUGUAAACCUCUUUCAGCGGGGACGAAGCGAAAGUGACGGUACCCGCAGAAGAAGCACCGGCUAACUACGUGCCAGCAGCCGCCGUAAUAC